rnacentral:rRNA from 1 species
UACGAAGGGGGCGAGCGUUGUUCGGAUUUACUGGGCGUAAAGGGCGCGUAGGCGGCCUUCCUUGUCGCGUGUGAAAGCCCCGGGCUCAACCUGGGAAUUGCGCGCGAAACGGGCGGGCUUGAGUUCGGGAGAGGAGCGUGGAAUUCCCAGUGUAGAGGUGAAAUUCGUAGAUAUUGGGAAGAACGCCGGUGGCGAAGGCGACGCUCUGGACCGAGACUGACGCUGAGGCGCGAAAGCGUGGGGAGCAAACAGG